AGGAAAGCAGGGGAUCGCAAGACCUUGCGCUUUUGGAGCGGCCGAUGUCUGAUUAGCUAGUUGGUGAGGUAAAGGCUUACCAAGGCUUCGAUCGGUAGCUGGUCUGAGAGGACGACCAGCCACACUGGGACUGAGACACGGCCCAGACUCCUACGGGAGGCAGCAGUGGGGAAUUUUGGACAAUGGGGGAAACCCUGAUCCAGCCAUGCCGCGUGAGUGAAGAAGGCCUUCGGGUUGUAAAGCUCUUUCAGCCGGAACGAAAAGGUUACGGUUAAUACCCGUGACUAAUGACGGUACCGGAAGAAGAAGCACCGGCUAACUACGUGCCAGCAGCCGCGGUAAUACGUAGGGUGCGAGCGUUAAUCGGAAUUACUGGGCGUAAAGCGUGCGCAGGCGGUUUUGUAAGUCAGAUGUGAAUCCCCGGGCUCAACCUGGGAACUGCGUUUGAAACUACAAGGCU
rnacentral:rRNA from 1 species